rnacentral:rRNA from 1 species
AGAGGGUGCAAGCGUUAAUCGGAAUUACUGGGCGUAAAGCGUGCGUAGACGGUUGCGUAAGUCAGAUGUGAAAGCCCCGGGCUCAACCUGGGAAUUGCAUUUGAGACUGCGUAGCUAGGGUGCGGAAGAGGGAAGCGGAAUUUCCGGUGUAGCGGUGAAAUGCGUAGAUAUCGGAAGGAACACCAGUGGCGAAAGCGGCUUCCUGGUCCAGCACCGACGUUCAGGCACGAAAGCGUGGGGAGCAAACAGGAUUAGAUACCCUGGUAGUCCACGCCAUAAACGAUGAGGACUAGACGUUGAGAGGGUAAGCCUCCCAGUGUCGCAGCUAACGCGAUAAGUCCUCCGCCUGGGGAGUACGGCCGCAAGGUUGAA